GAUGAAGGGGAUGAUGUUUAUUUGUGAUAUGAAUAUGAUAUUCAAUGGCACAGUUUCAAGCGUCUGGCUGAAAUU